GAGUGAGGGGGGGUGACUAGUGAGGGAGGGGGUGACUAGUGACAGAAUGAGGGAGGGGGUGACUAGUGACAGAGGGAGGGAGAUGGUGACUAGUGACAGAGGGAGGGAGAUUGUGACUGUCACUAGUCACCCCAUCCCUCCCUCUGUCACUAGUCACUCCCUCCCUAACUAUGUCACUAGUCAUCCCCUCCCUCACUCUGUCACCAGUCACCCCCUCCCUCUGUCACUGUGUCACCCCAUCCCUCCCUCUGUCACUAGUCACUCCCUCCCUCACUC